CCUUAGGGUACAAAAGCCCAGACCAGAAUGAGAACUGAUCUCCCCUAUUAGCUGUUCAACUUGGGGGCAAGCCAUUUACCCUCGGAAAGCUUCAGUGUCUUCUGAGUGUAAACUGAGAUCGUUAUAUCUUACUCACAAGUUUUCUAGGAAGAAAGCUGCACUUCGUCAGGACCAGGUCUCCUUUCCGUGUCCCGAGACGAUCCACCCACCUGCAGCCGGUGCUCCGUGCCAAGCAAAACCCAAACCCCGGCACCUUGCUACUUACUUAUGUGCAGACCUUCCAUGACCAGGUAUGUUUGUAUGGCAGCUAUGGGAAGGUUGAAAAGGGUCCAGUACCUUUGUAAGACCAUCAGAGAACUCAUCUGUGAACAGGUUUCUGUUCGGUGGCUUGUGCCAUGCACAAUGCUAUGCCGGACAUUGUAGUAAUAUUUGAUCCCUGACUUGAGGAGGCUCACCGUUGGAUC